AACGAUGAAGCCCAGCUUGCUGGGUGGAUUAGUGGCGAACGGGUGAGUAACACGUGAGUAACCUGCCCUUAACUCUGGGAUAAGCCUGGGAAACUGGGUCUAAUACCGGAUAGGAGCGUCCACCGCAUGGUGGGUGUUGGAAAGAUUUAUCGGUUUUGGAUGGACUCGCGGCCUAUCAGCUUGUUGGUGAGGUGAUGGCUCACCAAGGCGACGACGGGUAGCCGGCCUGAGAGGGUGACCGGCCACACUGGGACUGAGACACGGCCCAGACUCCUACGGGAGGCAGCAGUGGGGAAUAUUGCACAAUGGGCGCAAGCCUGAUGCAGCGACGCCGCGUGAGGGAUGACGGCCUUCGGGUUGUAAACCUCUUUCAGUAGGGAAGAAGCGAAAGUGACGGUACCUGCAGAAGAAGCACCGGCUAACUACGUGCCAGCAGCCGCGGUAAUACGUAGGGUGCGAGCGUUAUCCGGAAUUAUUGGGCGUAAAGAGCUCGUAGGCGGUUUGUCGCGUCUGUCGUGAAAGUCCGGGGCUUAACCCCGGAUCUGCGGUGGGUACGGGCAGACUAGAGUGCAGUAGGGGAGACUGGAAUUCCUGGUGUAGCGGUGGAAUGCGCAGAUAUCAGGAGGAACACCGAUGGCGAAGGCAGGUCUCUGG
rnacentral:rRNA from 1 species